rnacentral:rRNA from 1 species
CCUACGGGGUGCAGCAGUGGGGGAUAUUGCACAAUGGGGGGAACCCUGAUGUAGCGACGCCGCGUGUGGGAAGACGGUCCUCUGGAUUGUAAACCACUGUCCCCAGGGACGAAAAUGACGGUACCUGGGGAGGAAGCUCCGGCUAACGACGUACCAGCAGCCGCGGUAAUACGUAGGGAGCGAGCGUUGUCCGGAAUUACUGGGUGUAAAGGGAGCGAAGGUGGGGAUGAAAGUUGGGUGUCAAAACUACCGGCUCAACUGGUAGUCGCACUCAAAACUGCAGCUCUUGAGUGAAGUAGAGGCAGGCGGAAUUCCUAGUGUAGCGGUGAAAUGCGUAGAUAUUAGGAGGAACACCGGUGGCGAAGGCGGCCUGCUGGGCUUUUACUGACGCUGAGGCUCGAAAGUGUGGGGAGCAAACAGGAUUAGAUACCCCUGUAGUC